CUGCUCCAGCCUUUCUCUCAUCGUCCGCAUUUCCUCUUUGAUGUCACCCUAAUUAAAACAAAGAAAGAAAGUCAUCCCGGGAUUUAAUUUGGAUCAAUGAGAAAGCGGGAUGCUUUGUUCCUUUCGGAUGAAUUUCAGCAGAAGGAGUUUUUCGGGUCUCGGAUUCAGUUAAUCUUCCGAUUGACUUGCAGUAGACGACAAAGACAUCAAGAUGACAAGCGCAGCAUACUCCUUCCAUUAUGAACAGAUCUGGGAAGAGUCUAAAAAUUAUUCUAAGGAUUGGAGCCAAAGAAUCAGGUGAACUGGAAAUGGAGGAAAGUCUACUGGAUGCCGCUGACCAGGAAACGGUGAUGUGUGAAGAGAACAGCAAAAAAGAUUCCUGUUCCAAUGCUAUUGUCAAAAAAAAAAGAAGGAAAAAGAGGUUAGAAAUAACCACUGACAGCUAAUAAAGUCUGGUUUUGUUUACUAAAAGGGAAGAAAAAUAGUAAGCAUUGAGAGACAAAAUUGUUAAACUAAAUAAAUUAUAUUUUGCUCUGUAAGGUAGGCGAUUUCUACAUUUGAUAUAUAAAUAAAUCAUUUAUAACCUUCUGUUCACUCUCCAAUGUCUCUCAAUGUUUCCAAAUGAUAUAUCUCAAUAUAUUCUAAAUUUUUGCUCUAAAAUAAACAGGAUGAAAGAAAGCUGCUUGUUCAUAUGUUUACAGAAUAUGUGACCUGUUUGGUUUUGGCUUAGUAUGAUGAAUUUUCCUUUAUUGAACAAACCUCAGUUGAACAUACAUGACUAAUACCAUGUAUGAAUUGAAUCAUCUUUACAGGACUUCCCUUCAAGAUUCUUGGCAAUUGAACUUAAGAAUUUAACCUAAGUAGAGCUAGGCAGUUUCAGACAAAAUGCCUACCUGGACAAACCUUCAGCUAGGUUAUAAGCAGAAUAUGAAUACUAUAGCUUCUCCAGUCACUAUUUUCUAAUACCUUCUUUUGAUUCUGGAGCCUUUGGUAUUGCAUAUUAACAAUUCAGCUUUUUUUCAGCAUUUUUAUAACAAAUAUAGGCUAUUCUGUAUGUAAGACAGCAUUUCUGUUCUGCCGGGGAGUGACAGUUGGCAAUCCUGCUGCAUACCUUUUCAGGCCAGGCAAGUUUUUAUGUCUCUCUGUCCAGUGAAGCAUAUUGUUUAUAGUCUGACCCCUCAUUCAAAGCUAUGAGACUCUGACACUCAUUAUUCCUCUUGAGGAUUCACAAGCACACUCAUUUGAAAGUUAAAUACUAUAGAUGGUAAGGGAACCAAGUGAUGCUCUAUUUGUGCAAGAAUGCAGAAUCAUAAGACAAAAGACUGAAUCUUUUUUUAAGAGCAAGACCACUGUUCUCAGUCUUGAAAACAUUUAAUUAAUUAUUUUGGUUUUAAACCUCCUGAAAAUGCUACACUUACUAAAAUACCACAGAUUUUUGAGGCUUUUCCUGGAGUACCAUAUGACAUACAGUGAAAAUAAAAUCUAUAUUUGCAUAAAACAUGGCAGGAUCUAUAUUCAAAUAGUGAUUUAAUGUUUGAUUUGUGUUGCUAAAUGGAAUUUUGGUUAUUUUUUCCAAAUUCUACUUAUGACAUAUUUUGAUUCAGGUUUAAAUGAUACAUUUCUGCUAAAGAAUCAGAACAAAUUCAGAUGACAGUUUAUUGUAACUCUCAUAUCUUCCUGUUGGUUCCCUCCUACAAAUAUUCUGUCUAAUCUUUAUAUUCCUCAUCUUUAUAUCUCUAGCCCUCUUCUAAGUACAAUUUAAAAAAGCUUAAUUAUUCAUAAAUUAGGUGAUACUUAAAACUGAUUUGGUAAUCAUUUUGCAUUAUACCGUAUUUUUCGGAUUAUAGGUUGCUCCGAAGUGUAAGAUGCACUUAGCUUUUGGGGAGGAAAACAAUCAGCUGUUUCAGGAUGCAGGAAUUGCCAUUGUCUAUUGCUGCCUCCGCGUUCCCCAUUUUCGGUCCAUUCUGAUCCCCGCAUAUGAAGGCCAAAAAGAGGGUGCACGGAGGCAGCAGUAGGUAAUGGCAAUCCCUGCAGCCUGAAACAGCUGGUCAUUGGGAGGCCAAUCCAACCGACAAUCAGUUGCUUGUGCUGUCAGGCUGUGCUGAAGCUGAUCAGGCUGUAUUCUACAAGGAGGCAAAUUGCUGAGAGGCAGAGGGUGAAGGGGCUUUGGCAACAUUCGCUGUAUAAGACGCACAGACAUUUCCAUCCAUUUUUUUGGGGGGGAAGUGCAUCUUACACAUUGAAAAAUACGGUAAGUUGAAAUCCAGUUCUUCUGGAAACCCUGAACCAAAGUGGGAUUUCACUGAGCUUAGUUUUCUUAGUUCGCUUAGUUUUCCACAAUAAUACUUGAUCCACAGUGUCUAUGGAGACUCUCAAUCAUCCAGGUCUAUUCUUCACCAUUCAGUCGGAACUGAAGAAGCUUCCUGGAUGAGAAGCAAAAUGUUUUCAAGGAAAAAUCCAAGAAAGUCCAGUUGCCUUUUGAAAAGAACCUUUGGGAUUUGAGAUUCAGGAACCAGAAAGUUCUUAAAUACUUUAUAGUAAGUUGUGCAUUGGUUUUGCCUGUCUGCCUCUGUCUCUCUUCUUCUUUUUAUGUUUUCCAGAUGACCAGUGAUAAAUCUGACCAACUGUAAAUAUGAGAGUGGUAAGUAUAAUCUAUCAUUAGGAGGCUGAAUAUAUUUCUCAGUUGGUUCAGUGAGGAAAAAGCCCACAAUUUUUUUAAAAAAUCAGCUUCCAAAUUAACGAAGUUCUGAGGUUUGUUCUAGCUUUCGUUUGAAAAAUUUAAAAAUAUAUUUAUACUUAACAAUUGAAAGUAUUGUUUGGAGUCCAACAUUCAUAUUCAGUAUCCACACAUUCACCUCAUUUUUUUCUUUCUUAUAAUUCCUAAAUUUAUGUGCUUUCUGGAGCUGUCUCAUAUUGUCCAAUGUAAGACUAGCAAUUUAAAGAUAGGUG
rnacentral:lncRNA from 1 species